rnacentral:rRNA from 1 species
UGUCCUUAGUACGAGAGGACCGGGAUGGACGGACCGCUGGUGCAUCUGUUAGACUGCCAAGUCUAUAGCAGAGUAGCCAAGUCUGGAUUUGAUAAACGCUGAAGGCAUCUAAGCGUGAAACAGACCUUAAGAUAAGAUUUCCCAUCUGAAAAGAGUAAGACCCCUUGUAGACUACAAGGUUGAUAGGUUGGAGGUGUAAGUGUGGUAACACAUGAAGCUGACCAAUACUAAUGGUUCGAGGGUUUGACCUAU